AUAUAAAGAAACCCCAUAAAGAUCCGGAUUUUUAAUAAAAUUCGAAAUACAUUCCUUUUUUUUUAUAUAGAUAGGGCCGUUAAUUUUCUCGUUUGAAUUGUUUUACAUUGUCAUUUCGGGGCCUUUUAUAGCUGACUUUGUGGUAUUGCCUUUGCUCAUUGUUGAAGGCCAUACGGUGACCUAUAUUUGUUAAUGUCUGUGU
rnacentral:lncRNA from 1 species